GCUCCGAUAGCUCAAUGGUAGAGCUGCGCCCUUUUAAGGCGUAGGUUGAAGGUUCGAGUCCUUCUCGGGGCA
rnacentral:tRNA from 2 species